UGGAUUCGCUAGUAAUCGCGCAUCAGCCACGGCGCGGUGAAUACGUUCCCGGGCCUUGUACACACCGCCCGUCAAGCCAUGGAAGCCGGGGGUGCCUGAAGUGCGCUGCCGCAAGGAGCGCCCUAGGGUAAAACCGGUGACUGGGGCUAAGUCGUAACAAGGUAGC
rnacentral:rRNA from 1 species